rnacentral:rRNA from 1 species
CAGCCGCCGCGGGAAUACGAAGGGUGCAAGCGUUAAUCGGAAUUACUGGGCGUAAAGCGUGCGUAGGCGGUGAGUUAAGUCUGCUGUGAAAUCCCCGGGCUCAACCUGGGAAUGGCAGUGGAUACUGGCUCGCUAGAGUGUGUCAGAGGAUGGUGGAAUUCCCGGUGUAGCGGUGAAAUGCGUAGAGAUCGGGAGGAACAUCAGUGGCGAAGGCGGCCAUCUGGGACAACACUGACGCUGAGGCACGAAAGCGUGGGGAGCAAACAGGAUUAGAUACCCCAGUAGUCCCUGUCUCUUAUAC